CCGAAGAGGAAGGGACGGCUAACUCUGUGCCAGCAGCCGCGGUAAUACAGAGGUCCCAAGCGUUGUUCGGAUUCAUUGGGCGUAAAGGGUGCGUAGGCGGCGCGGUAAGUCGGGUGUGAAAUCUCGGAGCUUAACUCCGAAACUGCAUUCGAUACUGCCGUGCUUGAGGACUGGAGAGGAGACUGGAAUUUACGGUGUAGCGGUGAAAUGCGUAGAUAUCGUAAGGAAGACCAGUGGCGAAGGCGGGUCUCUGGACAGUUCCUGACGCUGAGGCACGAAGGCCAGGGGAGCAAACGGGAUUAGAUACCCCGGUAGUCCUGGCAGUAAACGGUGCACGUUUGGUGUGGGAGGAUUCGACCCCUUCUGCGCCGGAGCUAACGCGUUAAACGUGCCGCCUGGGGAGUACGGUCGCAAGAUUAAAACUCAAAGAAAUUGACGGGGGCCCGCACAAGCGGUGGAGUAUGUGGCUCAAUUCGAUGCAACGCGAAGAACCUUACCAGGCCUUGACAUGCAUCUCUAAGUUGGUGAAAGCCAGCGAGUCCCGAAGGGG
rnacentral:rRNA from 1 species